rnacentral:rRNA from 1 species
UCUAGCAAUAGAGAACCCAGCUAGUGGCAAACGGGUGAGUAACGCGUGGGAACCUUCCUUUCAGUUAGGAAUAGCCCUGGGAAACCGGGAUUAAUACCUGAUACGCCCUUCGGGGGAAAGAUUUAUCGCUGAAAGAUGGGCCCGCGUUAGAUUAGCUUGUUGGUAGGGUAAUGGCCUACCAAGCCGACGAUCCAUAGCUGGUUUGAGAGGAUGAUCAGCCACACUGGGACUGAGACACGGCCCAGACUCC